AGGGUAGCGUAGGCGGCUGAUUAAGUCAGCGGUGAAAGGUAGCAGCUUAACUGUUUUACAUGCCGUUGAUACUGGUUAGCUUGAGUUGACAGAAGGCAGAUAGAAUUCCUGGUGUAGCGGUGAAAUGCUUAGAUACCAGGAGGAAUACCGAUUGCGAAGGCAGUCUGCUGCAGUCACACUGACGCUGAGGCUCGAAGGUGCGGGGAUCAAACAGGAUUAGAUACCCUGGU
rnacentral:rRNA from 1 species